AUGGCCGUCGCGAGGAGGACGAUGAGGCUCGCCCUGCCGGUGAUCAUGGCGGCGUUCCUACUUCUGGCGGUGCUCGGCGAGGCGCGGCCGCUGGGCGGCGCCGACUGGGCGGCCGCCGGAGGGACCGCGCUGCCGGGCGCGUCGACCAUGGCCCAGGCGCUCCGGCGGCUGUUCACGCAGCGGCUGGACGGGCCGGGCGCCUCCUGCACCACCAACAGCCCGAACAACCGCUGCCCGCCGUAG
rnacentral:rRNA from 1 species